GAUGAACGCUAGCUACAGGCUUAACACAUGCAAGUCGAGGGGUAGCAGGGCCUAGCAAUAGGUUGCUGACGACCGGCGCACGGGUGAGUAACACGUAUCCAACCUGCCCUAUACUCGGGGAUAGCCUUUCGAAAGAAAGAUUAAUACCCGAUAGUAUAAUUAGAUCGCCUGAUUUGAUUAUUAAAGAAUUUCGGUAUAGGAUGGCAUGCGUGACAUUAGCUAGAUGGUGAGGUAACGGCUCACCAUGGCAACGAUGUCUAGGGGGACUGAGAGGUUAACCCCCCACACUGGUACUGAGACACGGACCAGACUCCUACGGGAGGCAGCAGGGAGGAAUAUUGGUCAAUGGACGGAAGUCUGAACCAGCCAUGCCGCGUGCAGGAUGACGGCUCUAUGAGUUGUAAACUGCUUUUGUAUAGGGGUAAAAGUAGAUACGUGUAUCUAUCUGAAAGUACUAUACGAAUAAGGAUCGGCUAACUCCGUGCCAGCCGCCGCCGUAAGAC
rnacentral:rRNA from 1 species